rnacentral:rRNA from 1 species
GAUGAACGCUGGCGGCGUGCCUAAUACAUGCAAGUCGAGCGAACAGACGAGGAGCUUGCUCCUCUGACGUUAGCGGCGGACGGGUGAGUAACACGUGGAUAACCUACCUAUAAGACUGGGAUAACUUCGGGAAACCGGAGCUAAUACCGGAUAAUAUAUUGAACCGCAUGGUUCAAUAGUGAAAGACGGUUUUGCUGUCACUUAUAGAUGGAUCCGCGCCGCAUUAGCUAGUUGGUAAGGUAACGGCUUACCAAGGCAACGAUGCGUAGCCGACCUGAGAGGGGGAUCGGCAAAACGGGAACUGAGACACGGUCCAGACUCCUACGGGAGGAAGCAGUAGGGAAUCUUCCGCAAUGGGCGAAAGCCUGACGGAGCAACGCCGCGUGAGUGAUGAAGGUCUUCGGAUCGUAAAACUCUGUUAUUAGGGAAGAACAAAUGUGUAAGUAACUAUGCACGUCUUGACGGUACCUAAUCAGAAAGCCACGGCUAACUACGUG